rnacentral:rRNA from 1 species
UCACCGGGUGCUUGCACCCAUCGAAGUUAAGGAGUGGCGGACGGGUGAGUAACACGUGGGUAACCUGCCCAUAAGAGGGGGAUAACAUUCGGAAACGGAUGCUAAUACCGCAUAUUUCUAAUCGUCUCCUGACGAAUGGAAGAAAGGUGGCUUCGGCUACCGCUUAUGGAUGGACCCGCGGCGUAUUAGCUAGUUGGUGAGGUAAUGGCUCACCAAGGCGAUGAUACGUAGCCGACCUGAGAGGGUGAUCGGCCACACUGGGACUGAGACACGGCCCAGACUCCUACGGGAGGCAGCAGUAGGGAAUCUUCCGCAAUGGACGAAAGUCUGACGGAGCAAUGCCGCGUGAGUGAAGAAGGUUUUCGGAUCGUAAAACUCUGUUGUUAGAGAAGAACAAGGAUGAGAGUAACUGCUCAUCCCCUGACGGUAUCUAACCAGAAAGCCACGGCUAACUACGUGCCAGCAGCCGCGGUAAUACGUAGGUGGCAAGCGUUGUCCGGAUUUAUUGGGCGUAAAGCGAGCGCAGGCGGUUCUUUAAGUCUGAUGUGAAAGCCCCCGGCUCAACCGGGGAGGGUCAUUGGAAACUGGAGAACUUGAGUGCAGAAGAGGAGAGUGGAAUUCCACGUGUAGCGGUGAAAUGCGUAGAUAUGUGGAGGAACACCAGUGGCGAAGGCGACUCUCUGGUCUGUAACUGACGCUGAGGCUCGAAAGCGUGGGGAGCAAACAGGAUUAGAUACCCAGGUAGUCCACGCCGUANACGAUGAGUGCUAAGUGUUGGAGGGUUUCCGCCCUNCAGUGCUGCAGCUAACGCAUUA